rnacentral:rRNA from 1 species
GAUGAACGCUGGCGGCGUGCUUAACACAUGCAAGUCGAACGGGACAUACUUCAUUGAGACUUCGGUGGAUUUGAUUUAUUUAUAGUGGCGGACGGGUGAGUAACGCGUGGGUAACCUGCCUUAUACAGGGGGAUAAAAGUCAGAAAUGACUGCUAAUACUGCAUAAGCGCACAGGACCGCAAGGUCCGGUGUGAAAAACUACGGUGGUAGAAGAUGGAGCCGAGUUGGAUUAGCAUGUUGGGGGGGUAACGGCCCACCAAGGCGACGAUCAAUAGCCUGCCUGAGAGGGUGAGCGGCCACAUUGGGACUGAGACACGGCCCAGACUCCUACGGGAGGCAGCAGUGGGGAAUAUUGCACAAUGGGGGAAACCCUGAUGCAGCGACGCCGCGUGUAGGAAGAAGUAUCUCGGUAUGUAAACUUCUAUCAGCAGGGAAGAUAGUGACGGUACCUGACUAAGAAGCCCCGGCUAACUACGUGCCAGCCGCCGCAGUAA